UACGUAGGGACCAAGCGUUGUUCGGAUUUACUGGGCGUAAAGGGCGCGUAGGCGGCGCGGUAAGUCACUUGUGAAAUCUCUGAGCUUAACUCAGAACGGCCAAGUGAUACUGCAGUGCUAGAGUGUGGAAGGGGCAAUCGGAAUUCUUGGUGUAGCGGUGAAAUGCGUAGAUAUCAAGAGGAACACCUGAGGUGAAGGCGGGUCUCUGGGCCGAUACUGACGCUGAGGAGCGAAAGCGUGGGGAGCGAACAGG
rnacentral:rRNA from 1 species